rnacentral:rRNA from 1 species
UACGAGGGGGGCGAGCGUUGUUCGGAAUUAUUGGGCGUAAAGGGUGCGUAGGCGGUUCCGCAAGUCCUGUGUGAAAUCUUCGGGCUCAACUCGAAGUCUGCACGGGAAACUGCGGGGCUUGAGUGUGGGAGAGGUGAGUGGAAUUCCCGGUGUAGCGGUGAAAUGCGUAGAUAGUCGGGAGGAACACCUGUGGCGAAAGCGGCUCACUGGACCAUAACUGACGCUGAUGCACGAAAGCUGGGGGGAGCAAACAGG